rnacentral:rRNA from 1 species
UUGAACGCUUGCCGCAUGCUUUACACCUGCAAGUCGAACGGUAACAGGCCGCAAGGUGCUGACGAGUGGCGAACGGGUGAGUAAUGCAUCGGAACGUGCCCAGUCGUUGGGGAUAACUACUCGUUAGAGUAGCUAAUACCGCAUACGAUCUAUGGAUGAAGGCGGGUGACCGUAAUGCCUCGCGCGAUUGGAGCGGCCGAUGUCUGGUUAGGUAGUUGGUGGGGUAAAGGCUCAUCAAGCCAACGAUCUGUAGCUGGUCUGAGAGGACGAACAGCCACACUGGGACUGAGACACGGCCCAGACACCUAGGGGAGGCAGCGGUGGGGAAUUUGGGACAAUGGGCGCAAGCCUGCUCCAGCAAUGCCGCGUGCAGGAAGAAGGCCUUCGGGUUGUAAACUGCUUUUGUACGGAACGAAACGGCUCUGGUUAAUACCCGGGGCUAAUGACGGUACCGUAAGAAUAAGCACCGGCUAACUACGU